UACGGAGGGUGCAAGCGUUGUCCGGAUUUAUUGGGUUUAAAGGGUGCGUAGGCGGGUCUUUAAGUCAGUGGUGAAAGCCUUCGGCUCAACCGAGGGAUUGCCAUUGAUACUGGGGAUCUUGAGUUCAGAUGAGGUAAGCGGAAUUGAUGGUGUAGCGGUGAAAUGCAUAGAUACCAUCAGGAACACCGAUUGCGUAGGCAGCUUACUGGGCUUGAACUGACGCUGAGGCACGAAAGCGUGGGGAUCGAACAGG
rnacentral:misc_RNA from 1 species